rnacentral:rRNA from 1 species
GACGAACGCUGGCGGCGUGCUUAACACAUGCAAGUCGAACGGAAAGGCCCUGCUUUUGUGGGGUGCUCGAGUGGCGAACGGGUGAGUAACACGUGAGUAACCUGCCCUUGACUUUGGGAUAACUUCAGGAAACUGGGGCUAAUACCGGAUAGGAGCUCCUGCUGCAUGGUGGGGGUUGGAAAGUUUCGGCGGUUGGGGAUGGACUCGCGGCUUAUCAGCUUGUUGGUGGGGUAGUGGCUUACCAAGGCUUUGACGGGUAGCCGGCCUGAGAGGGUGACCGGCCCCAUUGGGACUGGGAUACGGCCCAGACCCCUACGGGGGGCAACGGGGGGGAAUUUUGCCCAAGGGGCGGACGCCUGAUGCAGCAACCCCGCGUGCGGGAUGACGGCCUUCGGUUUGUAAACCGCUUUCGCCUGUGACGAAGCGUGGGUGACGGUAAUGGGGAAAGAAGCCCCGGCUAACUACGU